rnacentral:rRNA from 1 species
GAUGAACGCUGGCGGCGUGCCUAAUACAUGCAAGUCGAGCGAAUGGAUUAAGAGCUUGCUCUUAUGAAGUUAGCGGCGGACGGGUGAGUAACACGUGGGUAACCUGCCCAUAAGACUGGGAUAACUCCGGGAAACCGGGGCUAAUACCGGAUAACACUUUGAACCGCAUGGUUCGAAAUUGAAAGGCGGCUUCGGCUGUCACUUAUGGAUGGACCCGCGUCGCAUUAGCUAGUUGGUGAGGUAACGGCUCACCAAGGCAACGAUGCGUAGCCGACCUGAGAGGGUGAUCGGCCACACUGGGACUGAGACACGGCCCAGACUCCUACGGGAGGCAGCAGUAGGGAAUCUUCCGCAAUGGACGAAAGUCUGACGGAGCAACGCCGCGUGAGUGAUGAAGGCUUUCGGGUCGUAAAACUCUGUUGUUAGGGAAGAACAAGCGCUAGUUGAAUAAGCUGGCACCUUGACGGUACCUAACCAGAAAGCCACGGCUAACUACGUGCCAGCAGCCGCGGUAA